UAGCUAGUUGGUGAGGUAAAGGCUUACCAAGGCGACGAUCUGUAGCGGGUCUGAGAGGAUGAUCCGCCACACUGGAACUGAGACACGGUCCAGACUCCUACGGGAGGCAGCAGUGGGGAAUUUUGGACAAUGGGGGCAACCCUGAUCCAGCCAUGCCGCGUGAGUGAAGAAGGCCUUCGGGUUGUAAAGCUCUUUCGGCCGGGAAGAAAUCGCAUGGGCCAAUACCCUGUGUGGAUGACGGUACCGGAAUAAGAAGCACCGGCUAACUACGUGCCAGCAGCCGCGGUAAUACGUAGGGUGCGAGCGUUAAUCGGAAUUACUGGGCGUAAAGCGUGCGCAGGCGGUUUUGUAAGACAGGCGUGAAAUCCCCGGGCUUAACCUGGGAACUGCGUUUGUGACUGCAAGGCUAGAGUACGGCAGAGGGGGGUGGAAUUCCACGUGUAGCAGUGAAAUGCGUAGAGAUGUGGAGGAACACCAAUGGCGAAGGCAGCCCCCUGGGUCGAUACUGACGCUCAUGCACGAAAGCGUGGGUAGCAAACAGGAUUAGAUACCCUGGUAGUCCACGCCCUAAACUAUGUCAACUAGGUGUUGGGUGGGUAAAACCAUUUAGUACCGUAGCUAACGCGUGAAGUUGACCGCCUGGGGAGUACGGCCGCAAGGUUAAAACUCAAAGGAAUUGACGGGGACCCGCACAAGCGGUGGAUGAUGUGGAUUAAUUCGAUGCAACGCGAAAAACCUUACCUACCCUUGACAUGCCAGGAACUUGCCAGAGAUGGCUUGGUGCCCGAAAGGGAGCCUGGACACAGGUGCUGCAUGGCUGUCGUCAGCUCGUGUCGUGAGAUGUUGGGUUAAGUCCCGCAACGAGCGCAACCCUUGUCGUUAAUUGCCAUCAUUUAGUUGGGCACUUUAACGAGACUGCCGGUGACAAACCGGAGGAAGGUGGGGAUGACGUCAAGUCCUCAUGGCCCUUAUGGGUAGGGCUUCACACGUCAUACAAUGGUCGGUACAAAGGGUUGCCAAGCCGCGAGGCGGAGCCAAUCCCAGAAAGCCGAUCGUAGUCCGGAUUGCAGGCUGCAACUCGCCUGCAUGAAGUCGGAAUCGCUAGUAAUCGUGGAUCAGCAUGUCACGGUGAAUACGUUCCCGGGUCUUGUACACACCGCCCGUCACACCAUGGGAGCGGGUUCCGCCAGAAGUAGGUAGCCUAACCGCAAGGGGGGCGCUUACCACGGCGGGGUCCGUGACUGGGGUGAAGUCGAAACAAGGUAGCCGUAGGGGAACCUGCGGCUG
rnacentral:rRNA from 1 species